UGGUGGAUUGAUUUGUCUGGUUAAUUCCGAUAACGAACGAGACCUUAACCUGCUAAAUAGUUGCGCCAACUCGCGUUGGCAGCCAACUUCUUAGAGGGACUGUGGACGAUUUAAUCUCCACGGAAGUUUGAGGCAAUAACA
rnacentral:rRNA from 1 species